UUGGGGGGCGGGGAGAUAGUGAACAUUCUAGCCCAGCCUUGCGCGCGCCGGCUCUUCCCGCACCGGUGGGCUCAGGCGCUGCAGGGCUCUCUGGAGAGGGGGCUGGGCCCCCUGCUGCCCUGGCCGAAGCCACUGCCUUGCCCCCUUCCCCCUGCUCGGCCUCAUCCAGGGCUGCCUGUGGUCAGGGGCACCCUUUCAGAUUGGGGGGCAACUUUAACUGUGGUUCCUGCGGCUACUUAGGCACUUUAAAACUGUACUGGCAAUGGCUUGGAGGAGAGGUGCAUAUCUGUGAGAGGGAGGAUAUCAUACCUCAUACUGAUAUGUUUGAACCUCUUCCAUAAACUCAAGGCUGGUGUGUAGGAAGGCACCUCUUCUACAGAAGAAACAGGACCCCUUUCAUUCCUAUGGUCUGUUCGCAACUUUGAGGUAAAGUCCCCAAUUAUAAUUUCCACCUGGCUUCUUGCUGACCAAGCUUAGCUUAGCAAAAAGCAAGGUUGUCCUUUGUUUGUUCUGCUUCUUAGCUAAUAUUGUUCACUAUUUGCUAGGCCUCUGUCUUCUU